AUCCAGCUGGUGAGUCCCAAAAUAGGACGAAAGGAGCGUCAACCUGGAU
rnacentral:hammerhead_ribozyme from 1 species